UGGCGGCAGGCUUAACACAUGCAAGUCGAACGCCCCGCAAGGGGAGUGGCAGACGGGUGAGUAACGCGUGGGAACAUACCCCUUUCUGCGGAAUAGCUCCGGGAAACUGGAAUUAAUACCGCAUACGCCUACGGGGGAAAGAUUUAUCGGGGAAGGAUUGGCCCGCGUUGGAUUAGCUAGUUGGUGGGGUAAAGGCCUACCAAGGCGACGAUCCAUAGCUGGUCUGAGAGGAUGAUCAGCCACAUUGGGACUGAGACACGGCCCAAACUCUACGGGAGGCAGCAGUGGGGAAUAUUGGACAAUGGGCGCAAGCCUGAUCCAGCCAUGCCGCGUGAGUGAUGAAGGCCUUAGGGUUGUAAAGCUCUUUCACCGAUGAAGAUAAUGACGGUAGUCGGAGAAGAAGCCCCGGCUAACUUCGUGCCAGCAGCCGCGGUAAUACGAAGGGGGCUAGCGUUGUUCGGAAUUACUGGGCGUAAAGCGCACGUAGGCGGAUAUUUAAGUCAGGGGUGAAAUCCCGCAGCUCAACUGCGGAACUGCCUUUGAUACUGGGUAUCUUGAGUAUGGAAGAGGUAAGUGGAAUUCCGAGUGUAGAGGUGAAAUUCGUAGAUAUUCGGAGGAACACCAGUGGCGAAGGCGGCUUACUGGUCCAUUACUGACGCUGAGGUGCGAAAGCGUGGGGAGCAAACAGGAUUAGAUAWCCUGGUAGUCCACGCWGUAAACGAUGAAUGUUAGCCGUCGGGCAGUAUACUGUUCGGUGGCGCGUGACGCAUUAAACAUKCCGCCU
rnacentral:rRNA from 1 species